rnacentral:rRNA from 1 species
AUACGUAGGGUGCAAGCGUUAAUCGGAAUUACUGGGCGUAAAGCGUGCGCAGGCGGUUUUGUAAGACAGAGGUGAAAUCCCCGGGCUCAACCUGGGAACUGCCUUUGUGACUGCAAGGCUAGAGUACGGCAGAGGGGGAUGGAAUUCCGCGUGUAGCAGUGAAAUGCGUAGAUAUGCGGAGGAACACCGAUGGGGAAGGCAAUCCCCGGGGCCUGUACUGACGCUCAUGCACGAAAGCGUGGGGAGCAAACAGGAUUAGAUACCCUGGUAGUCCACGCCCUAAACGAUGUCAACUGGUUGUUGGGUCUUCAUUGACUCAGUAACGAAGCUAACGCGUGAGGUUGACCGCCUGGGGAGUACGGCCGCAAGGUUGAAACUCAAAUGAAUUGACGGGG